rnacentral:rRNA from 1 species
UGGGGAAUAUUGGACAAUGGGGGGAACACUGAUCCAGCGACGCCGCGUGAGUGAAGAAGUAUUUCGGUAUGUAAAGCUCUAUCAGCAGGGAAGAAAAUGACGGUACCUGACUAAGAAGCCCCGGCUAACUACGUGCCAGCAGCCGCGGUAAUACGGAGGAUGCGAGCGUUAUCCGGAAUUAUUGGGUUUAAAGGGUGCGUAGGUUGCAAGGGAAGUCAGGGGUGAAAAGCUAUAGCUCAACUAUGGUCUUGCCUUUGAAACUCUCUAGCUCGAGGGUACUGGAGGUACGUUGAACGUGUGGUGUAGCGGUGAAAUGCAUAGAAAUCACACAGAACUCCGAUUGCGCAGGCAGCGUACUACAUUACAACUGACACUGAAGCACGAAAGCGUGGAUAUCAAACAGG